rnacentral:rRNA from 1 species
GGUGUCGCUAUGGUGUGUCCGCUCCUCGCUCUCUAUUACUUGGUUGCUUGGUUGGUUGUCUCCGGGCAAAACCUUAGGUCCACUUACGGAUAGCUGAUGCCAGCGUCCUUCCUCUUUUGGGAGCAUUGUUUGUGGAGACACGGCUUGGAGGUUCUAUGUAGCAUUCCUUUGGUGCUCCCCGAUGUUCUGGAUUGUUCAUCAGCAGCGCUAUGUACACCAUCGCAGGUGAGUCCAAGACGAUGACUUUCUCGGGGCUGUCUGGGUCACGACAUCCACCUGCCAACUCCUUUUAGGCCCUCGAGGAUGGUUGUUGCGUCGACAAGGAUAGUCGUUUGGAGUUGUUGCUUUUUGGAGGUGAUCGUCGUUUGUCGAUCGUUCCUCUUUUGGGAGCAUUGUUUGUCGAGACACGGCUUUAGCAUUCCUUUGGUGCUCCCUGAUGUUCUGGAUUGUUCAUCAGGAGCACUAUGUACACAGUCGCAGGUGAGCCCAGGACGAUGACUUUCUUGGGUCUGUCUGAGUCACGACAUCCACCUGCCAACUCUUUUUAGGCACUCGAGGAUGGUUGGU